CCUACGGGUUGCACCAGUGGGGAAUUUUCCGCAAUGGGCGAAAGCCUGACGGAGCAAUGCCGCGUGGGGGUAGAAGGCCCACGGGUCGUGAAUUUCUUUUCCCGGAGAAGAAGCAAUGACGGUAUCCGGGGAAUAAGCAUCGGCUAACUCUGUGCCAGCAGCCGCGGUAAUACAGAGGAUGCAAGCGUUAUCCGGAAUGAUUGGGCGUAAAGCGUCUGUAGGUGGCUUUUUAAGUCCGCCGUCAAAUCCCAGGGCUCAACCCUGGACAGGCGGUGGAAACUACCAAGCUGGAGUACGGUAGGGGCAGAGGGAAUUUCCGGUGGAGCGGUGAAAUGCGUAGAGAUCGGAAAGAACACCAGCGGCGAAAGCACUCUGCUGGGCCGACACUGACACUGAGAGACGAAAGCUAGGGGAGCGAAUGGGAUUAGAUACCCCAGUAGUC
rnacentral:rRNA from 1 species